rnacentral:rRNA from 1 species
AUUGAACGCUGGCGGCAUGAUUUACACAUGCAAGUCGAACGGUAACAGGCCGCAAGGUGCUGACGAGUGGCGAACGGGUGAGUAAUGCAUCGGAACGUGCCCAGUCGUGGGGGAUAACUACUCGAAAGAGUAGCUAAUACCGCAUACGAUCUAUGGAUGAAAGCGGGGGACCGUAAGGCCUCGCGCGAUUGGAGCGGCCGAUGUCAGAUUAGGUAGUUGGUGGGGUAAAGGCUCACCAAGCCAACGAUCUGUAGCUGGUCUGAGAGGACGACCAGCCACACUGGGACUGAGACACGGCCCAGACUCCUACGGGAGGCAGCAGUGGGGAAUUUUGGACAAUGGGCGCAAGCCUGAUCCAGCAAUGCCGCGUGCAGGAAGAAGGCCUUCGGGUUGUAAACUGCUUUUGUUCGGAACGAAACGGCUCUGGUUAAUACCCGGGGCUAAUGACGGUACCGUAAGAAUAAGCACCGGCUAACUACGUG